rnacentral:lncRNA from 1 species
CCGUGACCUGGAGGCGCCCUGAACAUGGACCGCCCUCGCCAUGGUUGAACGGCAUGUAGUACAGUCUCAUCUCGUGAGAAUUAAUUUGGGACAGUACAGGUGCAGAUAUGCUGAACUUUAAGCUUUUCUGAAGUCUAUGCCCUGUUUUGCUUUCUUUGGGGGAAAAAUACGAGUAGAAUGCGUCGUUGGUUCGAUUUGCUCUUUGUAUUUUACUUCUCAAGGGAGACAAGGACUAGGUGUUCCCAUCGAUUUUGGUUACAAACUGCAGACGCAAAAGGCAAGGAGUGAUUUAGCUUACAUGAAUCCUGUAUGAUACUAAUAACAUAGUUUAUCUUCAAAAGGAUAAGAUAAUAACAAUGGUUUCAUUUUCUGUUGGUGAGUGCAGGCUAGAGAUCAUCAGGGACUCAGGUCAAGCGCUGCAGGUGGAGUGGGGCUAGAAGCUGAACAAUUUCACCAAGUCGUUCCUUGUACAUGAUCCGAAUAGACCAAGAUUUGGCAGAGCCCAAAAGUGAAGCCUGCUGAGUGCAUCCGUACUUGCAGGAAAACUACACACAGAAUCCUCCCAGGGGCCCAAAUGGUGUACAUUAUACUCUUUGUAGGCAUGUACUGAUGCCGUGAGGAGAGAAUUCAGCUUACAUGAGAUUGAGUAUUAGUAUGUGUAAAACUGUUUUUCUUCUCUUGUUGGUGUUGGUGUCCCAGUUUAGUUGAAAACUAGAGAAUUCAGAGAAAGCAUUUUAU